GGCCCCAUCGUCUAGAGGCCUAGGACCCAGGAUUUUCAGUCCUGUUACCGGGGUUCGAAUCCCCGUGGGGUCA
rnacentral:tRNA from 1 species